AGGAGGAACAGCCCCAGUGGCGGGGCAGCUCUGGAGCCCUGGAUUCAGCUCCGGCAGGAUAUUCCGUCUGCAGGGCCUGGAGGCUCCGGGGCGGG
rnacentral:pre_miRNA from 1 species